rnacentral:rRNA from 1 species
UGGGGAAUAUUGGACAAUGGGCGAAAGCCUGAUCCAGCCAUGCCGCGUGUGUGAAGAAGGUCUUCGGAUUGUAAAGCACUUUAAGUUGGGAGGAAGGGCAGUAAGCGAAUACCUUGCUGUUUUGACGUUACCGACAGAAUAAGCACCGGCUAACUCUGUGCCAGCAGCCGCGGUAAUACAGAGGAUGCAAGCGUUAAUCGGAAUUACUGGGCGUAAAGCGCGCGUAGGUGGUUCGUUAAGUUGAAUGUGAAAGACCCGGGCUCAACCUGGGAACUGCAUCCAAAACUGGCGGGCUAGAGUAGGGCAGAGGGUGGUGGAAUUUCCUGUGUAGCGGUGAAAUGCGUAGAUAUAGGAAGGAACACCAGUGGCGAAGGCGACCACCUGGGCUCAUACUGACGCUGAGGUGCGAAAGCGUGGGGAGCAAACAGG